UACAGAGGGUGCAAGCGUUAAUCGGAAUUACUGGGCGUAAGGCGUGCGUAGACGGUUAUUUAAGUCAGGUGUGAAAGCCCAGGGCUCAACCUUGGAAUUGCAUUUGAGACUGAAUAGCUAGGGUGCGGAAGAGGGAAGCGGAAUUUCCGGUGUAGCGGUGAAAUGCGUAGAUAUCGGAAGGAACACCAGUGGCGAAAGCGGCUUCCUGGUCCAGCACCGACGUUCAGGCACGAAAGCGUGGGGAGCAAACAGG
rnacentral:rRNA from 1 species